rnacentral:rRNA from 1 species
GACGUAGGGCGCAAGCGUUGUCCGGAUUUAUUGGGCGUAAAGAGCUCGUAGGCGGCCUGUCGCGUCGACCGUGAAAACCCGCAGCUCAACUGCGGGCUUGCGGUCGAUACGGGCAGGCUGGAGUUCGGUAGGGGAGACUGGAAUUCCUGGUGUAGCGGUGAAAUGCGCAGAUAUCAGGAGGAACAUCGAUGGCGAAGGCGGCCCACUGGGCCGGUGCUGACGCUGAGGCGCGAAGGCUAGGGGAGCAAACAGG